AAGGAUUUAAGUUAACCCAAAACUAAUGGUUUUCAAAGCCGUAAAUAAAGAUACGCUUUAAGCCUUA
rnacentral:tRNA from 1 species